rnacentral:rRNA from 1 species
UACGGAGGGUGCAAGCGUUAUCCGGAUUCACUGGGUUUAAAGGGAGCGUAGGUGGGCAGGUAAGUCAGUGGUGAAAUCUCUGGGCUUAACCCGGAAACUGCCAUUGAUACUAUUUGUCUUGAAUUUUCUGGAGGUAAGCGGAAUAUGUCAUGUAGCGGUGAAAUGCUUAGAUAUGACAUAGAACACCCAUUGCGAAGGCAGCUUACUACGGAAUGAUUGACACUGAGGCUCGAAAGCGUGGGGAUCAAACAGG